GUAGGGAAUAUUGCGCAAUGGGGGAAACCCUGACGCAGCGACGCCGCGUGAGUGAUGAAGGCCUUCGGGUCGUAAAGCUCUGUUGCAGGGGAAUAAAAAAAUGAAGGUACCCUGUGAGGAAGGAUCGGCUAACUUCGUGCCAGCAGCCGCGGUAAGACGAGGGAUCCUAGCGUUGCUCGGAAUCAUUGGGCGUAAAGAGGGCGUAGGUGGCUUGGUAAGUCAGGUGUGAAAGCCCAGGGCUCAACCCUGGAAGUGCAUUCGAUACUGCUGAGCUUGAGUGUCGGAGAGGUUACCGGAAUACCUGGUGUAGUGGUGAAAUACGUAGAUAUCAGGUGGAACACCGGAGGCGAAGGCGGGUAACUGGACGAACACUGACACUGAGGCCCGAAAGCGUGGGGAUCAAACAGGAUUAGAUACCCUUGUAGUCC
rnacentral:rRNA from 1 species